UACGGAGGGUGCAAGCGUUAUCCGGAUUUACUGGGUUUAAAGGGUGCGUAGGUGGUCAGGUAAGUCUGAUGUGAAAGCUCUGGGCUCAACCCAGAAAUGGCAUUGGAUACUAUCUGGCUAGAGGAAUGGAGGGGGGACUGGAAUACUUGGUGUAGCAGUGAAAUGCGUAGAUAUCAAGUGGAACACCAGUGGCGAAGGCGAGUCCCUGGACAUUUCCUGACACUGAGGCACGAAAGCUAGGGGAGCAAACAGG
rnacentral:rRNA from 1 species